UUGCUGAAAUGUUCUGUUCAAUUUUCAACAAUUAAGGGAAUACCGUUAUUUUUUCGCACCUUUAAAUGAGUUCUUUGUUCUUUGCGCGAUGGCCUGAUAACCGUUUACCCAGAUUUCAUACCGUAAAAGGUGGCAGCGCCAAGAAAUUUUCUGGUACAGUCAUAAAGCCUAGUAUUCACAUCGACAAAAGCCGCGAGCUAACCAUAGGAGUGAGCGAGAGGCAAAUAGGCGACUAACGCUUUUCGUCGGGUCUUUUUUUCAGCGCGGUACUCAGAUGAGCUAAGGAAAUACCAGAUUUAGAGAGUGAAUUUCGAUGAACUCCGUUACCCGCGUCCCAAAGAAUGAGAAAUUUAAUCCUUGGCGGUAAAGCCUAGUACUCAGAUCGGCUAAGAGUUUCACUAGUCGAAAAAUCUUAUUCUUUGUAGUGUGACCGAAGUUUUCAAAGUGUAAACAGGCUUAUAAAUUGUGUUCGAUAGUUCAGACACAACUAUCGAUACAUACUAAUAAAACGGGUGCGGGAUAAAGAAAAAAGUAAAAAGAAAAUCACGAAUCUGACUGCAGGAACAGUUAUCAGACGAAAUGGCACUAAUGGACAUAGAGCUAAAAAAGGCCUUCACUGAAAUGCAGAUCAACAAACUGGAAACCAAUAGUAUUCACAUCGACGAAAGCCGCGAGCUAACCAUAGGAGUGAGCGAGAGGCAAAUAGGCGGCUAACGCUUUUCGUCGGGUCUUUUUUUCAGCGCGGUACUCAGAUGAGCUAAGGAAAUACCAGACUUAGCGAGUGAAUUU